GUUAUCCGGACGCACUCCGCUCCUCUGAGUUUUUCUCUUUUUCCCUCGGUUUUUUUCGUGUGUUGCCCCGGUUUUUUUCUCUCCGUCUCUCGCCCCCCCUCGCCACGCGUCUUGGGGUUUUUUGCCCGGGCAGCGCCGCAAAUGCGUGAAGGAGGAGAGCUCCGACCCUGCCAAGACGCGAUCAAUCGGCUGCAGGGACAGGGACAGGGGUGCUCUUUGCUCCACUCGGCAACCUUAUUUAAUACGGUUUUCUCUUAAGCAUAAGCUGCUCCUGUAACAGGCUUAAGUCUUGUUUUAUCUCGACGAGUAUUAAGGCUUACGCGAGUGUUAGUGCGUGCGAGGGAGACGGCCUCUUCCGUGCUCGGCGGUGCGAGUGAGACGCGCGCCGCCUAAUCCGCCAUGUGUGCCACUGCCUCCGUUCUAGUGUUAAUAUCAACAAUGCAAACUCAUUGAAAAGUGUCGCUAUGUGCCUUUUAAGAAUGUUACGCGUGCUAAUCAGUGAAUCCUUUUUAUCUGCCUGAUUCCCAUCCGGACGUCCGACACCACUAAACUCAAAACCAGCCUCUCCUGGCUCUCCAUGUGGCCAAAUAGCCUUGCAGCUGGGUGCAAUGCAGAUGGUGAGCUGGCUUUCCCGCCGUUCAGCAGCGGGCUGCAGCAGUGCGGGAGCUCGGUCGGAGCCGCCGUCGGCGUCGGUGUGGGCGUCGGCAUGGCCUCCUACAUCAAACCUUACUCCGUCAACAGCAUCGUUGACUCCUUCCACGCUACACAGCAGGUCAGUGUCACACACACUGCUUCCCUCAAUUCUCAAGUACGAACUUAUUCACACUCAAUGUUUUUUUUGCCCCAGAG
rnacentral:lncRNA from 1 species